rnacentral:lncRNA from 1 species
UUUAUUUAAGUCUUAAUAAUUAUUAAAGAUAAUCAUCAAUAAUAUGUAUGCAAUGUAAUGUAAUGAAUGGACAACCAGGUGCUCCGCAGGGCACAGCUUUAUACAACCGCAGAGAUCAAACCCUGAACAGUUUGAGCAAGUAUGGACACAGCAUUGAAACUUGAUACCGCUCUAAAUUUGGAUUGCGAUCAAAUUAUUGACACAAUAUGAGUUUCUGACACAAAACAAAUGUCAAGAUCACUAAUCUAUUAUGCAAUAUUUUCAAAAAUUUGGAAUUUGAGAAAUUUGGGGAAAAACAUUUGAAAACUACUACCACCCCCCUUUUUUGGCAAUAGGUCCAAAACCAGACAUUUCUUUACACACAAUUUACAAGUAGUGUAAGUGGGUUAAAUCCGAACAUACCCAACAUUGUAAAUUAACUGUUUUUGAAUUACCUCCCCAAGUACACUGCUUUUAAAUUGUCUUAAUUGUCCAUUGACCAGAAAAACCUAGUUUUUCCCCUUUUGUGCCCCUAAUUCCAAAUAUUUUGAGCCAUAAACCCCCAAAGUUUUUACUAAACAUCCCUUUAUGGUAUGGAAACUUGUGGUAUAAUUUCAGAGAGAUUCAUACACUUAAACACAAGUUAUUGUUCGAAAACUACAAAAAUGCUCCCUUUUUGGCCCCUAAUUCCUAAACUAUUUGGACCAUAACCCCCAAAAUCAAUCCCAACCUUUCUUUAGAGGUAUUGAACCUUCUGGUAAAAAAUUAUAGAGAUCCAUUUACUUAAUCUAAAGUUAUUAUCCAGAAAAUCUAUUUCUCCCCUUUUUUGUCCCUAAUUCCAAAACAUUUUGAGCCAUAACAACCCAAAGUCAUAACUAACCAUCCUUUCAUGGUAUGGAAACUUGUUGUAUAAUUUCAGAGAUUUAUACACUUAAACACAAGUUAUUGUUUGAAAACUACAAAAAAUGCUUAUUUUGGAUCCCUUUUUGGCCCCUAAUUCCUAAAUGAUUGGGACCAUAACCCCCAAAAUCAAUCCUAACCUUCCGUUGGUGGUAUUGAACCUCUGGUAAAAAUUUAUAGAGAUCCAUACACUAAAUCCUUAGUUAUUGUCCGGAAACUAAAUGUGUCUUCGGAUGAUGUAGACAUCGACAUGAUACCAUUAUACGACGCAAAAAAAUGUUUGUGGUGGUAUAAAAACAAUAUAAAUAAUUCAUCAUAAACUAUUAUAUAAACAAUCUUGUAAAGAUAAGGUGGAAGUACAAUCCCAUGUAGUACAUAAGGUAAAUACUACAAAAUGUAACUGGUGGAAGAUUAAUACAUGUACAAUGUAAACAGUACCUGCAUUAAAUACCUGAUAUAUAUCAUUUUGAAAAUUGAAUACUUAUAUUAAUUCUAAAAAAGUUAUGAGAUUAUAAAAGUAAAUGAUCUGAAAAAAUUUCUGAACAUGUAGAUCUUCAUGAAAUAAUCAUGAUAAUGGCAAUGAAACAGGCAAAAUGUAAAAAUAACUCAAUAUUAAAGUCUUGCUAAUUUAUUCUUUAUGCUAGGAAAUGUCCAAACUAAGACCUUCUUAUUAACAUUACAGUAUUUUGAAUUGUCCAUGCCUUUUUCAAUUAAAUGCACAGUGAAAUAAACAGCAAUUAUUUGCUCAUGCUGUGAAAGUUUUCAGUGUGAUAUUUGGUAUGGAAAAAUUCCCCGUUUCAAAAUUAUCAUGAGGGUGGCAGGGACUUUUUCUGGACGGUGGGAUCCGGUGUUUUUAAGCUCGGGAUUUUGGGAUUGAUCCUUUCGAGAUCCUUGAAUUCUUUUAUCCAAUUUUGGGAUGUCGAGAUUUAAAUUUCUUUAAGUUCUGGACUUCAGAGGGAUUUUGGGGAUCAGGACCCCUCCGAUUUCCCCCUCUCCCUCUAUCAUCGUGCUUUUUUUCAGUCUUUUAAAUGUGUUAAAUGAUAUAAAUGAACAAAAUCAUAUUUCAUCUUAAAAAAUUCACGUAUAAAAGGUUAAACAUUUAACUUUUAAGUUUCUGUUAAUUAGGAUUUGCAUUGCACAGGAUAAAACUUCUAGAGAAUUUAAACAGAGAAACCUGUUCACUAAACUAAAUUGUAUUCACGGAUCAGUCUAAACCAUCUACUUCUAAAUAGUAUUUAAACAUGAUUAAGCCUGAAUCAAGAUAUUUCAAAUGUAGGACAAUAUUAAUAUUUUCCAAUACACAUAUUGUAUAUUAACCUUCCAGUAAGAAAUACCUUAAUUAUGAAUCUAACAUUUGUCAUGAUGUAUCAUCUUUCGUUUUAUUUAUGGAUUUAGUAUGAAAUAUGUCUACAGUAGUUUUAUGACAAGGUCGUAGGUCAAGGUCAAUGGAUCCUAUAGAGAAUUUAUUGUCUGAAGCUUUAUAUAUAUCUAAUCCUCUUCCUAUUUUUACAAUCCAUCCAGUGUUAAACCUAA